UUGGGGUCUGUAGUUGUUCACUACACUGAUGAGUCCCAGAGGAUGAAAUUCCAA
rnacentral:hammerhead_ribozyme from 1 species